rnacentral:lncRNA from 1 species
UAACCACAACAUAUUUGUUUAAAUGCAUUCAUCCUCCACUUGGCAUUGCCUUGCAUAUAAAAACUUUAAAAAAAUAAUAAUAAAAGAAAAAAAUAUUUGCCUCUUGUCUUCAUCACUCAUUAUCUUGUCUCUAGUAUAAUGAAUCUUGUUCAUCCUAUCAUGCUCCCUCUUUCUAUGUUAGUAAGUAUGGGGGUAUAAACCACUAUACCCUUACGGCUAGACUUGGGCCAGGAGCUUUGGCCCAUUACGAGACAGUUCAACGCUUGAUCCAACUACUCGGAGUUUCGCAUAAGGAAACAAGACGUGGAGAUCAAGUAGAAUUCUAGUCGGUUAGAAUAGGAAUUAAUAUCAUGUUAUUUAUGGCAAUUGUAACCGACUAGGAUUAGUUUCUAGAUCUGUAACCCUACCCUCUGGACUAUAUAAAGAGAGGCAAGGGACCCCCCUUAGACAACAACAACUCAAUUCAAUUCGACACACAGCAAUACAAUCAGACGCAGGACGUAGGUAUUACGCCCACACGGCCGCCGAACCUGGAUAAAAUCCUUGUCUGUCUUGCGUCACCAUCAAGUUCAUAGCUUGCACACCUA